AUGCUCGUUUGUCCCCUUCAUCUUCAACAUGUUUGCUCCUUUCCUUCUUCCCCGUCAUUAUGUCUACUCAUUUCCUUAUUCCCCGUCAUUUUUUUCGAUUUCAUUUUCAUCGUCUUCAUCCUUCAUAUUCCUCAAUCAUCAAUCAAAAUCUCAAAAAGUUCAAAGUCAAACAUGUCUUUAAAUGGAAGAAUCACUCCAAAAUAUGGACAUAAUAUUUCUAUGAAGAUGUUUGUUUCAAAGCCUUAUGAAAAUCCGGAGAGAAAAUACUGGAAAUACAAGUAUAAGGGUACAAAAUAA